CAUCCGGUGGGAACUAAUUACCUUUCCCAUAUAACUUUCUGAAUCCCCCUCCCCAAACUCUAGAGACCGACCUCACUUCUCCUUCAUCUCUAAUAUCUCACCCUCCACCUUUUCCGCUGACAGAAAUCGCCUCAUGAGGGCAUAGCUUCAAAUUUUCACCCUGUGACCUUUAGUUUCCUCUUAUUCUAAAGUCCCUAGCCUCAUCCCUCAAAUCUCUCUAAUAUUUCAGUUAUAGUAGAUCUAAAAAAUGCACUAACAACCCUAGUUCAAGCUUUUGUUGUUUCUCCUCAAUAAUUUAAGCCGAUUUGGUUUCAAACUCAUAAAAAUCGAUCGAUUUUGACAAGAGAAAUUUAUGUUAGUUUAAUUCAUGUCGGAGCCGUCCACAGAGCAUAUUCAGAUAAUUAUUUCAGUUUUCAGUCCCUAUUAGAUUAUAUGGAUUUCCUCCUCUCAUUCUCUUAUAAAAUCAAUAGGUACUUUCUUUGUUUUAGUUACUUUUCUGACAUUUUUCGAUUUCUCAUAUAUGUGUUUUUCUGUUAGUUGUGUGCGUUUUUAUGUGUAUAACAUGUUUUAGAUCAAUUAGGGUUCAAUGAACACUAAGUUUGUGUUUCCAUGGUUAUAUUAAUAAUUGACUUGUUUGAUCCCUACUAGUUAAUUACAUUAGGUUAAUCAUCUAAAUUUUGUUAAGUUUUUGAGUGUGUUUUGCUUUGAAUUGUAUAAUAUUUUCCUUGUUUUGCUUCUUCUGUUUUCUACAGUCGAUUACAUUUUCAGUAAUGUUUUGUCAAAAUUAGAUGAGUCUUGUAAUUUGCCCUACGUUGGUUUGUUUAGAUACAUUUCAAAAUCAAUUAGGUUUUGUAACUUCUGAAAUAUUUUCCAUUAGGUUUAAAAUUACUGAAAUUGGAUAUAGUGUUUUGAUUUGUAGACUAGGGGAUAUUGGUUCAUUAUUGGGUUUAGAAGGAAGAUUGAGGUACAUGCCUAAAUCGUUAAACGGGCCUGGCCCAAUCUGUGAUCCAUUUGAGAGUUAAAUGUAACGAGACAAGGGUAUUCAGGUCAGAAAAUAGGUUUAAAAGGGGUAAAAUACAAAGAUUAAAAGAGUGAAAAUAAGAAGAAACUUCUUGAAAGGGACAACUGCCCAAAUCUGUUAGAAAAGAUGUUGAAAUAAGAUAAUAUAUGACAAAAAAGGCUAGUUGUACACUAAAUUGAUUAAAGAAAGAUGUUAUUUUCCUUAUUUUUUGUGGGUGUACCUUCCCAGAUUAUUCCCUCAUCCCUUUGAGCACACACACUUUAUAUAAGACUCACUCACACUCAUUUCAGUAGCUCUAGAAUCUGUGCAUCUUUCUCUUCCAGAAAAUACAUUAAUCUUUGUAUUUUUUUGAAGAAAAACACACAUGAAUUUUGCAUAUUUCAUAGAUAUAUACUCACUCACAUGGAUUUUAGAAUUUUGCGUUGUUCUUCAUCAAUUUUUGGCCUUCUUGAAAUAAUUUUUAACUGAAGUGGGGAUCAUUCUGGGAUUCUAUUGUUGAUUCUAUUUACUUGCUGAUGAUUUCUGAGUCGACUGAGCUUAUUCUCUAAUUUUCAGCCUUUAUUUUGCUAUUUGUUUACUGUCUUUCGCAAAUAGGUAUGUGUCUUUUUAAUUAAAUUCUGUGCUUUCGAGGCCUUGUAAACCUUAUUUAGAGUAACCUCAAUUUGCAUGCGCAAUUCGGGCGCGUAGUCGGAAAGUUUAAAUAUGAAAAUCUAUAAAAACUGGUGAAAUGUGGUUUAUACAAUGAUAUAAUUUGAUCUCGGUCAACAUUUUGGAUAAAUGGACCCGGACCCGUGAUAUUACGGUCUCGGAGGGUCCGUAGGAAAAUAUGGUAUAUGGGUGUAUACCUAGAAUCGAAUUCCGAGGUUCCGAGCCCGAGAAAUAAAUUUUUAAAGGAAACUAUUUUCUGAAAUUGUUUAUGAAAAUGUGAAAUGAAAUUUGAUUAGAACAAAUUAGUAUCGGGCCCCUAUUUUGGUUCUGGCACGCGGUAUAGGUCUUAUAUGUCAUUUAAGAAUUAUAUGUGAAAGUUGGUGAAAAAUCAAUAUCUUUUGACAUGAUUCAGAUGUAAAUUGCUAAAGUUGAUAUUUUAUGAAGUUUGAGAAAACUCCUUUGAUUUUGAGGUCUAAUUCGUUGUUAUUGAGGUUAUUUGGUGAUUUGAUCACAAAGGAAAUUGUAUGAUGUUGUCGAGUUAGUACGUGCGUUUGGUUAGGAGCCCCGAGGGAUCAGGUGUGUUUCGGAUAUGUUUCGGGAAGUUUUAAACUUGAAAAAACGUUACAGAUUUCUACUGUUAGCGCCUAGGGAUUUAACCCUUCGCAUUCACGUGAUCCCUCUCACAAACAGGAUUAUUGUAAAAUUUCAUAGACCCCUUCUUCUCCAAAGUUCUUAGGCGAUUUUGAUGCAUUUCUUCACCAUAUUCUCUUGGGUAAGUAAUCUUUAACUUGUUUUCUUCAUUUUUUAUCAACAUCCACUAGAUUUCAAGCCUAAAACAUGUGAUUAAGGGUAGAAAAUUAGGGAUUUGGGUAGAGUUAGGGCUUUUUGAUUAAUUUAUUUAGACCUCAUUUUAGGGUCGAAUCUAGAGAUAUUUAUAUAUUUGGUCUCGUGGGUAAAUGAGUGAUUUGAUUUUGGUCCGAACCUCGUAUUUUGACCAAGCGGGCCGGGGAUCCACUUUAGAAUUUUAGGGAAGAAAUAUUAGAAAGCUAUAAUUAAGCGUUGGAAUUGGAUUAUUUAGCAUUUAUUGAUGUUAUUAAGUCAAUUAUGUAUAGAUUUGAUUGGUUGAAGCCAAAUUUGAAAGGAAUACUGGUGUUUGAGGCUUGAGUAGGCCGUGGAAGUUCGAGGUAAGUGUUUGGUCUAACUUUAGCUUGAGGGAUUAGGAGUUGAGUCCUAUUUGUUAUGUGAUAAUUGUUGAGUACGAUGUAGGAAUGGUGACGAGUAUCUAUAUGUUGGUGUCUAGAAUGACCAUGAGUCUUUAUAUUGUGAAUAUCAUGAUUUUGUUUCAUGCCUUGGUGAUGUUUUCUAUUUGUUUUGAAAAGCCUAUGGAAAAGAAUUUUGACCUUUGAACAUCGAGGCGCAUUGUCUCAAGUUAUAUUAUGGAUUGUGAAAGUAUAUGAGAUGAUUGAACCCUUUGGAGUAUUGGCUCAAGUGGUAAAGUGAGUUUUGAAAUAAAAGUGAAAGAAAGAGAAAGAGUGAUUAAAUUUCCUUUGCCGGGAUAUUGUUGCUUUGUUGAUUAUCUCCCUUGCGGAUAUGUUGAGAUUACUGAUGUUGUUGCCUUGCCGGGAUUUUAAUUGUUAAAUUGUUGUUCCAUUGCUGGGAUUUCUAUUAUUACAUUGUUUAUUCCCUUGCCCCUUUGUUGUGAUUGCUGUUUAUGUGAGGAAGGUGUUAAAGCACGAAAGGUGAUGUUGUCAAUUAUUUGUUAUUGUACGGAAAGAGAGUAAAAGCACGAAGGGUGAUGCCAUGCCGUACAAUGUACCAUUCCGUAUAAUUUUUCAUUUAUUAUAUGGUGAGGAAAAAGAGUAAAAUCACGAAGGGUGAUGUUGUGCACACCUUUAUUAUAUGAUUGUUUUGGUGAGGACGAGAGUAAAAUCACGAAGGGUGUUGUCGUGCACAUUUUUAUUAUAAAAACUGCUUUGGUGAGGACGAGAGUAUAAGCACGAAGGCUGAUACAGUGCAAUUGUUGGUUUUUGCUUCUUUGUUAAUAUUUGAAAUAUGUUUUUUCUUUCCUUACUUGAAGCGUUUCUAUUCGGAAUGGUUGUCUCCCCCACAGCAUGUUUCCCCCUCCCACAUUGACUGGUUAUUUUCUGUAUUUCUUUUUCAUUGUAUAUGUAUAUUUGAAUUACACAAGUUUAUUUGGUAGUCUGGUCCUAGCCUCUUCACUACUUCGCCGAGGUUAGGUUAGCCACUUACCAGCACAUGGAGUUUGGUUGUGCUGAUAUUACAAUCUGCACUGUGUUCAGGUCCAGGAGCAGCUUUCGAACAGUAAUUGGAGUGCUUCCUUCAGUCCACCCAGAGACCCCAGGUAGACCUGCAGGCGUCCGCAGGCCCUGGCGUCUCCCUCUAUCUCUAUUUACCAUUUCAUUUUCUUUUAUUCAGAAACACUGUAUUAUUACUUCUUCAGACCUUGUAUGUAGUAUUCUUAGAUAGUCCGUGACACUAUGACACUAGGUUUUCGUUAUUAGAUGUUAUAAAAGUUGUAGUAGACACAUCAUUACUAUAUGUAAUUGUUGAUUUCUGCUUAUUUAUUCAAAAUUUUGCUAUUAUCAUCUUAUCGUCGCGUGUUUAAAUAUGCAAUAUGAAGGUGUAGCAUGUAGUUAAGGUUUGGCUUGCCUAGCUCCUAUUAGUAGGCACCAUCACAACUCCUGAGGGUGGGAAAUCCGGGUCAUGAUAAGUUGGUAUUAGAGCUCUAGGUUACAUGGGUCUCACAGUUCACAAACAAGCAUAGUAGAGUUUGAGAGAUCGUACGGAGACGUUUGUAUUUAUCCCCCAGUUUAUACAAAGUUAGGAAAAAAAUUUCACAUUUAUUCUUUCCUAUCCAGUGGUUUGCUUUCUCAAUGCUAAUAGAAUUUCUACUCUGUUCUUUCGCAGAUGGCGAGAACACGCGCUUCCUUAUCUACCAAUCAGCAACCCGAGCCCCCAGCAGCAGCUCCCACCAGGGGCAGAGGGCGAUGUUGAGGCUGUGCUAGAGGCUGAGGCAAGGGUAGAGCUCAUUCCAAUGCAGCAACACCCGUAGCGGAGCCUCAGGUUGAUUUUGAUGACAAGGUUCCACCCCAGUAGCUUCAGUGG
rnacentral:lncRNA from 1 species